rnacentral:rRNA from 1 species
GAUGAACGCUGGCGGCAUGCCUAACACAUGCAAGUCGGACGGGAGGUGGUGUUUCCCGUGGCGUUCGGGGGAGUGACGCGUAAGAACCUGCCCUUGAGAGGGGAACAACAACUGUAAACGGUGGCUAAUACCCCGUAGGCUGAGUAGCACAAGGAGGGAUCCGCCAGCGGAGGGGCUGGCGUCUGAUUAGCUAGUUGGUUAGGUAAUAGCUUACCAAGGCGAUGAUCAGUAGCUGGUACGACAGGAUGAUCAGCCACACUGGGACUGGGACACGCCGCGGGCUACUUCGGGCAGCAGCAGUGGGGCAGUUUCAGCAAUAGGCGGAAGGCUGACAGGGCAUUGGCGCGUGAAAGUAGAUGGGCCACGAGUCGAGAACUUCUGUUCACGGAGAAGAAACAAUGACGGUAGCUGAAGAAUAAGCACCGGCUAACUCUGUG